UACUUUUUGUAGAACGGUCCGGCGAGUUGCCGGUGCUGGCAAGGUUAAGUCAUUCAGUGACGGAGCCGAAGGGAAACCAAGUCUGAAGAGGGCGUUGAGUCAGCAUAGGCAGACCCGAAACCGGGUGAUCUACCCAUGGCCAGGAUGAAGCGGGAGUAAAAUCCCGUGGAGGUCCGAACGCACAUCCGUUGAAAAGGGUGGCGAUGAGCUGUGGGUAGGGGAGAAAUUCCAAUCGAACCCGGAGAUAGCUGGUUCUCCUCGAAAUAGCUUUAGGGCUAGCCUUGAGGUGAGUCUGUAGGAGGUAGAGCACUGAAUUCCUAAGGGGUCGUCAAAGAUUACCAAGGGAUAUCAAACUCCGAAUGCCUGCAGAUAUACUCAGGAGUCAGACUGCACGAGAUAAGUUGGGUAGUCAAAAGGGAAAGAGCCCAGACCUGCAGCUAAGGUCCCAAAGUGCGUGUUAAGUGGAAAAGGAUGUGGGGAUUCGAAGACAACUAGGAUGUUGGCUCAGAAGCAGCCAUUCAUUCAAAGAGUGCGUAAUAGCUCACUAGUCGAGAGUCCCUGCGCCGAAAAUGUCCGGGGCUAAAACACGACACCGAAGCUCAGGAAUUACCAAUAGGUAAUUGGUAGAGGAGCAAUCCUGGCACGAAGAAGCAGUACCGGAAGGAGCUGUGGAGAGUCAGGAAGAGAGAAUGCCGGAAUGAGUAGCGAGAGUGAGGUGAGAAUCCUCACGGCCGAAUAUCCAAGGUUUCCAGGGUAAAGCUGAUCUGCCCUGGGGAAGUCGGGACCUAAGGCGAGGCCGAAAGGCGUAGCCGAUGGACAACAGGUUGAGAUUCCUGUACUAUAUCAUGACAGAACUGUGGGGACACAGAGGGAAAGCCUGAGCCGGAGAUGGAAGAGCCGGUGCAAGCGAAGGAGCCGUCGGACAGGCAAAUCCGUUCGAUAAGGCAAAAGCGUGAUGCGGACCGAAGUUUAGUAGGGAAGCAGGUGAGCCAGCUGUCGAGAAAAGCCGCUAUUGUUCAUGAUAUACCCGUACCGUAAACCGACACAGGUGGAUGAGGAGAGAAUCCUAAGGCCGACGGGAGAAGCGUUGUUAAGGAACUCGGCAAAAUGACUCCGUAACUUCGGGAGAAGGGGUGCCUGCGAAAGCAGGCCGCAGAGAAGAGGCCCAAGCAACUGUUUAGCAAAAACACAGGUCUAUGCGAAACCGAAAGGUGAGGUAUAUGGGCUGACGCCUGCCCGGUGCUGGAAGGUUAAGGGGAGAGGUUAGCGAAAGCGAAGCCUUGAACUUAAGCCCCAGUAAACGGCGGCCGUAACUAUAACGGUCCUAAGGUAGCGAAAUUCCUUGUCGGGUAAGUUCCGACCCGCACGAAAGGCGUAAUGAUUUGGGCACUGUCUCGACAACGCACCCGGUGAAAUUGAAGUACCAGUGAAGAUGCUGGUUACCCGCGCCAGGACGGAAAGACCCCAUGGAGCU
rnacentral:rRNA from 1 species